UUGGGAUCACCUUCCAAAUAAAUGUCUUACUCUUGAAUCUUGUCUCAGGAUUUGUUUCUGGAAGAAGCAGACAGAAAAGUGCCAUCAAGAGGAACAGAACAUCCAGUCUGUGUCUUGCUACAAUGCGUUGGAGCUGCCACUUGACCCUGUCUCCAUCAUAAAAGAGCUUGUGAAACACACUGAAGGGAUGGACCAGUGCUGUUGUGUUAGAGAUACGUUGAUGGGCAGGAACGCGGUGAUGGGGAAGGCCUGCCCCUGCUGAUCAGGUUCUGAAGGAAAGCUGGCCUCUCACAUGGUCUACACUUCCUGGACCAAGGCAGAAGGAGCAGCCUUUAUCUGAUACAUGCUGGCUUCAUGAGCUGUGAUGGACAACAUGAUGGCCCUCAAGUUCAGAAGCAAUCACUCGCACAUCAUUGGUCAAAGUAAGUCACAACGCCCCCUGGUGUCAGUGGAGUGAGAUUACAGUCCUUCUGUAAUCCCCUCUCCCUGGUAGUAGAAGCAGGAAUAUUUUGAACAAAUGAUACAAUUUACAUCAGUGUAACCACCAGGAGACUCUGGAUAAAGAGUUCCCAGUGACAGGAUGAUUGUUUUUUUUUUUUUUUUUUUAAAGAUUUUAUUUAUUUUCCUUUUUCUCCCGAAAGCCCCCUGUACAUAGUUGUAUAUUCUUCGUUG
rnacentral:lncRNA from 1 species